rnacentral:lncRNA from 13 species
GGAAGCCAUGUGAGGAGGAUGUCUGAGUAGCUCUGUGGAGAGGCUCCCAACCGACAGCCAGCAUGAACUUGCUGGUCAUGUGAGCACACCACCUUGGCAGUGGAGCCUCCAGCCCCAGUCAAGCCAUCAGGUGAGACUACAGCCUGGCUUGUAUCUGACCACAGCCUCAUGAACAACGCAGAGCUAGGCCACCAAGGCACCUUCUAUAUCUCAUGCUCUGGAAAUACCAAGAUGAACCAUGCGGACCCUGACCUCAUGGAGUUAAGAGUCUAGUGGGGAAAGACAGACAUCAUCAAAUGCCGGCACAAAUAAAGGUUUGUUGAAGAUCAGAUGGUUGCAGAUGUGCGGCGCUGCUUCUGAGGCCCCGUGCUGUUCCACCGGUCUAUAUCUCUGUUUUGACCACAUAACAGGAAGUAAAUCACUCCUCGGCAAAUGCAAAAGAAGGAAAGGUUUUUACAACAGAAGCCAUCGGAAUCAAGAGAGAGCGAGUUCUUGGCGUCACGGAGCGAUCUACAUUCCAGGUCAUGCCGUGGACCUGCUGGGUGGCCUCAGGUAACAGACCUCAUUUCCCUUAUCUAUAAACUGAGAAUCCUAAUUCCUUCCUCUAAUCAAACCCAGCUGGCGAAUGCCCCCUCACCGCUCCCUUCUCCCCUCAAAGAGACAAGCCGUCCUUGCCACAUGCCUCUGUUUUUUUCCUCCCAGAGCUACCUUUCAAAUCCUGGCCCAGAAAGGUGA